GCGCCAGUGGUAUAAUGCGUACCAUUGCUGCCCGGAAAGCAGAGGGUGUGGGUUCAAGACCCGCCUGGCACA
rnacentral:tRNA from 1 species